rnacentral:rRNA from 1 species
GGUAAUAGUAAAAAACAAAACCUAUAAAAUUUGGCGGUUGUAAUAUUCUAGAGAAACUUGUUUUAUAAUAGACAACUCUCAAUAAUUUUAGCUUUUAUUUUAAAGUCCCUAUACCGCCGUUCAAAGAUAAAAUAUAAAUACCAUAUCUCUAUAACAAUAUUUUAAAAAUCAGGUCAAGGUGCGGCCAAUGUAAUAGUAAAAAUUAGUUACUUAUAAAAAAAAUUUAUGAAAUUAAAAUUAAAAUUUUAAACGAAACAGAAUCUAAAAACAAAACCUCAAUUAAAAUUUAUACUUGAAAUUUACACUAUCACAA